rnacentral:tRNA from 1 species
GGUUGGGGCUCAGUGGCAGAGCACUUGCAUAGCAUGCAUGAGGCACUGGGUUCGAUUCCCAGAAUCA